rnacentral:sRNA from 1 species
UUGACAGUCUUGAAGACAAAUGCUAUCUCUUUCUCCACAGAACAGCCAUAGGCAGUACAGGCUUCCCCACAUCAUCAUGCCCACACUCUUCAACUUUGUCAUUGAGAACACUUCUAGACGUGAGAGAAUAGUUCAGUCUCCAUGCAUGUCAGUCCUUGGGCUCU